UACGAAGGGAGCUAGCGUUGUUCGGAAUCACUGGGCGUAAAGCGCACGUAGGCGGAUGUGUCAGUCAGGGGUGAAAUCCCGGAGCUCAACUUCGGAACUGCCUUUGAUACAGCACGUCUUGAGUCCGAUAGAGGUGGGUGGAAUUCCUAGUGUAGAGGUGAAAUUCGUAGAUAUUAGGAAGAACACCGGUGGCGAAGGCGGCCCACUGGAGCGGUACUGACGCUGAAGCGCGAAAGCCAGGGGAGCAAACGGG
rnacentral:rRNA from 1 species